rnacentral:siRNA from 1 species
GGACUUAUUUACAGUGGCUGCCAC